rnacentral:rRNA from 1 species
GACGAACGCUGGCGGCGUGCUUAACACAUGCAAGUCGAGCGGUAAGGCCCUUUCGGGGGUACACGAGCGGCGAACGGGUGAGUAACACGUGGGUGACCUGCCCUCAGCUCUGGGAUAAGCCUGGGAAACCGGGUCUAAUACUGGAUAUGACUCCAUGACACAUGUUGUGGGGUGGAAAGCCUUGUGCGGCUGAGGAUGGGCCCGCGGCCUAUCAGCUUGUUGGUGGGGUGANGGCCUACCAAGGCGACGACGGGUAGCCGGCCUGAGAGGGCGACCGGCCACACUGGGACUGAGACACGGCCCAGACUCCUACGGGAGGCAGCAGUGGGGAAUCUUGCGCAAUGGGCGAAAGCCUGACGCAGCGACGCCGCGUGAGGGAUGACGGCCUGGU